GUGAUGCUCACUUCAGCAUCACAUAUGCUAAAAUUGGAACGAUACAAAGAAGAUUAGAAUGGCUCCUGAGCAAGGAUGACAUACAAAUUUGUGAAACAUUCCACAUUUUU
rfam:Canis lupus familiaris chromosome 34, whole genome shotgun sequence.